rnacentral:lncRNA from 1 species
GCAGUGUAGCACUCGCGCCCUUGGGGGCUAGCGUUUGGCCGGAGCUACACACUCUUUACUCACGCACGCACACCGCCGUACACAGCACAAUCGUUCACCGUCCCGCCAAAGGCUCGUCUCUCGGGUUCUGCCUAGUGGAAGGAGUCGGACAACGCCGCACGUCACGGGCGUUUCGGAUUUCUUGCUUCCCAAAGGUUUGACGGCGGCCACCGGCGCCCCGGCCCAGCUCUGCUUUCCUUUGCUGACUCCUUCCUUUAGGUGUGAAUUUUAAAAUGCUGAUACCGCCCCAAGAGAGCUGAGUCAAGUGAGGCAAACGUUCGCCUGUUGUUCUCCUGACAGACUCCCUGCAGUGGGCAGGGGAAAUGUGGCCUUGGCCGACAUUAAUGAAGUGCCAGGAUGGAGGGAGGGGGCCUGCUGAUUUGUUCUGUUUUACUUUUUAAGGGUAACUAGAGCGUUACUGGAGUCGUCUGUGGGUUUGGGGAGUAUGUGGCGCGUGUGUGUGUCACACAUUUCACUGGCAACUCCCGCCAACCCCUUCCCAAGAAAUGAAGGCUCUAAUGUGGGCAGUUCUGCAACAAAGGUGAAACUUCCCCAAAUCACGAUUCCCCGCAAGAUGAGAGAGCAGGUGCAGCAUCCAUUUUCCCACUAUCACGCUUGAGAUGGUGGCUUUGGGCACUGCCGGGUGCCCCGACAUCCUUCCCAGAGCCCAGCCUUCCCACCCAGGCCCGGCCCUGCGCGGCCGCCUGCCUUUGCAUCAGAGACCGCGGCUGUGCCAUUGCCAAGGUGGGCAGCGCCGCCUCGCUUCCCCAUUCCUCCGUCUCCCACGCCUCUUGCGUGUUUGAGUCGCGAAGUGAUGGACUUUAAAUCUCAGAGGAGGAAUGAGAAACUUGGUUAGUGGCUCUCUUGGCAUGUUCGUAGCCCUGUGGUUGAAGUGGCUGAAACCUGCGUUGAGCCUCAGUCCAAGCAGCUGGGGCCACACCAGUUUGCAAAAGCGGAUGUGGCAGUUUCCACCGCAGCAGCAGCCUGCUGGCGCCUCAUCAGAUUCUCCUUUGGAGGAAGUAUCUUCUUCCCUUCAUUCUCGGUGAAUGGCAUCCAGAGAUAACCAAAAUCAGGUGUAUCUAGUUUCAAGUUCUGUCUUGCAACCGUGAUAAUUGGAGGAUGCAAACUUUACACUUUCUUCUCUAGCUGUCUACCACCACUGCUGCGCUUGUGGAUGACUGCAGGAACACCGGGUACUUGCCACAAGUAUCUCUCCAGAUUCAUCAGCCUUUCACCUGUGACAAGCUCAGUCAAGAAGUGGCUCCUAAGUAAAAGCUGGGGAAGAACAAGGAAGAUAGAGCUCAGAGUAGAAAGCUGUGAAGUUCUGCACAACAGGUCCCCUUGGCCUGCUCUAACAGUUGGAAGGUGGGGGAAGCAUUCAUUUACUCAACAAAUAUAUACUGAGUGCCUUUUGCAUGCUAGGCACGCUUCUAGGGGUUGAGGACACAGCAGAGAGCACAAACAACAAUUCCAGCCCUCGUGGAGCUUACCUCUUCCACGUGGGAAAGACAGAUGGUAAAUGUAUAAGGACAAUAUAUGGACUGCUGUAUGAUUAGAAAUGCUAUGGAGAGGCUAGGAGUGCUGUCUCAUGCCUGUAAUCCCGCAGUUUGGGAGGCCAAAGGAGGAGGAUCACUUGAGGCCAGAAGUUGGAGACCCAACCUGGGCAACAUAACAGGCAUGGUAGCUCAUGUGGAAGCUUCCCGAGGCCCUCACCCAGAAGCAGAUGCUGGAGCCAUGCUUGUACAGCUUGCAGAACUAAAGCCCAGCUGGCUUGGUUCCAUGAAUCUUUGCCCUUCUUUCCAUCCACUUCUUCCUGCUUGGACAUUGGUUACCUGGAGAAGCAGAAGCCAUUUUAAGAUGAUGAAAGCAAAAGUUAAAUGUAUGAGAUGAUGGUGCAGAAAGCCAAAAGGGGCCUCCAGAACACUGAGCUUUGUGGAGUCGUGUACCAUAGCUGUAUUGCCGACCUCUGAACUUCCUGCUGAGAUAAAAAACAAUCCUUAUGUGUUUAUACUACUUUUAUUUCAGUUUCUUUUAAGUAUAGCAAACACAUUCCAAAUAAUAUGCAUCUGAAGUUUUUGGUUUUGUUUUUAAAUUUUUUUUUUAGGGAUGGGUUCUGGCUGCGUAGUGGCUAGAGUGUAGUGGCUAUUCUUAGGUGCGGUCAUAGCUCACUACAGCCUCUAACUGGCCUCAAGCAAUCCUCCCACCUCAGCUUCCAGGGUAGCUGGGAUUACAGGAGAGCACCACACUGAAGUUUCUGUUAAAUAGAAUGUUUGCUGUAGAUUUUUAGUUGAUGUCCUCUGUUAGGUUGAAAACCUUCCUUUAUUUUCUUGUGAAAUUUCUAAGAGAUUUUUAAAUCAUUAACUGGUAUUGAACUUUAUAAAAUGAUUUUUCUGUGUCUGAGAUGAUCAUGUGAUUAUUUUUCCUGUUUAUGUCCCUUGAUGUGAUGAUUUUUAUUGUAGAUCUUCCUUUAUUGAACCAAAUUUACGUUAUUUAUAUUAACCCUAUUUGAUUGUAAUAUAUUUUUAGUAGGGUAUUAGACUCUGUUACCUAACAUUUUACUUAGCAUUAUUUUGCAUCUAUGUUCAUAAGUAAAAUAGGAGUUUUUUUCUUUAUGUGACUAGGUAUCAACAUUAUAUUGGCCUUAUAAAUUAUGUUGAACACUU